GGAGGGAAUAGGAGAGGAGGAUGGGGUGGGACUCAUUAACUUUGCUGGCAAUGCUUUUUUGCAGCAGUUUCAAGGAAAGUCUUUAGGAGGGGGAGAAACCAGCUUUCUGCAAGGCUGGCAUGGGUGAAUUUGAGUUAUUUCUGAAAGACAUUUAAGCCUGAAAGACUCCCUUCAGCAUUUCUUGUAAGGAAGAUCAACCAGCUACUAAUUCUCUCCAUUUUUGUUCAUCUGGGAAUGUCUUAAUUUCUCCUUUAUAUUUGAAGAAUUGUUUUGUAAGAUAUAGAAGUCUUGGUUGGUGUUUUUAUCAUUUCAACAUUUUGAAUAUGUCAUCCCACUGCUUUCUGGCCUCCAUGGUUUCAAGAGAAAUUAGCUAUUAAUCCAAUUGAGGAUCACUGACAGCAUAUUAAAAAGCAGAGACAUUACUUGUCAACAAAGG